rnacentral:lncRNA from 1 species
ACGGAGUCUCGCUCGGUUGCCCAGGCUGGAGUGCGGUGGCACAAUCUCGGCUCACUGCAACCUCCGCCUCCCGGGUUCAAGCGAUCCUUCUGCUUCAGCCUCCCGAGUAGCUGGGACUACAGGUGCAUCUCAGAUGCCUUCCAGCAUGUGAAGGACACCAUUGCAUUGGCUCUCACCACCACCAUGCCCUCCUCCUUACCCAGGGUGAAGCAUGAAUCUGCACAUGGGGAGGCUUCAGAGGACAACUGAGACAAGAAGCAGGAAGCUGAGAAAGGAGGACACCUCCCACACACACAUCUAGCAAAAGCUGGACAUUUCUGGUCAGUCAUCCUUAUGCAAAGACUUUCUGGAAGGAGCAGUUAUUCUUGGGUGAGCACUUAUGUAGCAUGAAAGAGGUUAACAUUAGCCCAGGGAAAUCCUUCAAAGUAAUUGAGGGGGAAGGAUACAUUAUUUAUGCAUUUGUUCCCUUCUCUAUCGACAGUAAGAAAUGAUUCAUGGCACCUGUCACAGUCCUAGGUAGUGACAGACACCAGCCUGCACUGUAGCUGAAAACCCCUGAGAAGCCACAGAUGUGCAGUCUUCCCAGCUUGACUACAUGCCCAAGUCUUCUGAACCUUAGUUUCCCAACCUAGGAAAUAAAAAUUGUGCCCUUUACCCCUCAUGAACCUUAUUGGGGUCUUAUAAGAUUGCUCCUGGUUGCCAUUUGGCCCACAGAUGGGUUUAGUUUGGUGGACAGUGUCCCGAAAGACUUACAAAUUCAGAUCUGACUUGUUCAUUUGUGUAGGGGAGAGUUGGUGGCACACAUCCUCUCUGUCACUGUAAGUAUGUUCCAAAUGUCACAUUAGGUCCACUGGCACGUGUAAGCCCUGUCUGGCAUUUGCCUGGUCCCUGCAGGCAUUUGGGUUGGCAGUAAACUUUCUUUUCUAACAGAUUUCUGGAAAUGUUUACAUGUAGCAUAUAAUAGAAUAAUAGAACCACAGAACUUCCACAGUAAAGCCUUCCUUCUUUUAUGUUCCAAAAGCUAAAAUGUACUAACAACCUCCAAAAGGCACUAUGACAUUGGAGUUUAAACUUUGUGGAGCAGGACUCAAAGCUGGACUUAGCUGCUUGCUAACUUUGACCUUGAGUGAAGAGUUAGCAGAUGAUUUAAAGUGUAAAGUAGAAAGAAUUCAUGCUGGUUAGCCCAUUAAAUACCCGUUAAUUAAGCUCUCCAAAAACGCCAUUCAAAAAUGUAUAUGAUAAUCAAAUAUUUAUUGCAAUGUUUCUUAAAAUAGUGAAAAAUUAGAAAACAUUAUAGGGGGCUAGUGUUAAAUCAUGGUGUAACCAGAAAUGAAACAUUAUGCAACCAUAAAAAGGAGUUCUGAAGAGUAGUUCCCGGCAUGAUAUAAUGUGAAAAAAAGCAAAAUACGAAAUUGUGCAAUUCUAAUUUUGCAAAAACUUUCAGCGUACACGACUAUCACUGUAUAAAGUCACAAAGUAGGAAUGGUGAUUGUAUCUUGGAGUGAUGAGAUUAUAAGUGAUUUUUAAUUUUCUUCACUAUGCUUUACUGCAAUUAAACAUUUACAAUUCAAUUUUAUUUAACAAAAAUAUAUAAAACUUCUCAAAUGGAGUAACUUCAGUACCAGACAUCCUCAACCUGACUGCUCUGGAGGUUAUUGUGCAGAGCAAUCUUUGACCAUAUGGUCACAGAUCCAGAAGCCAGACGUCUGUGGGGCUUUGCUCCUGAGACUGUGACCUUUGAUUCCUGCACUCCUCCUCUUGCCAUCUGACGCCGGUCUGCGCCUGUGACUGAGUGAAAAUCGUCAUAACUGUACUCGGAGGUUAACUCUGGCAUGACUGGGAUGGAAUCCCAGGCAACAUGCUGGAGGCAGGAAAGAAGGCCAGCCGGCAAGUCAGAACCAAACACCCUGGACGGCACCUUUCCUUACAAAUGCGGUUCACAGGACCCUUGGGGAUCCUCUGCGCACACUGAGGCAAGCAGCAAUGGAAGAAAUUAUCUUCCACUCCCUUCUUGUUGAAAAUGUCUGUUUUCCAGAAAUGAAUUACAGUAAUAGAUUAUGAAAAUUGUUUCCAUUGCCUACAUAACACAGCAGGGAAUUCUAAAAUUUCAAAACAUGUAAUAUACUCAACCUGUGCUUGAGACUGUAGGGUAUUA